AAAGAAUACACCUCAUCUUUAGAUCAUAUGCAUCUCAUCCUGAAAUGCCUUUCUCAUAGAAUAUACUCAUUCCUUCCACAUCUGAAAUAGAUCGCUACACUUUUCUUCUUGUUCCCUUUUUUCUUUUCUCUUUUGCAACUCCUGGCAAUAACAGAAACCGUGCUCUCUCUACUUGACAUCUGGCUGUACUCCCAGAGCUCCCACUCCCGUGUGGCACAUCUUUGUGCUUGCUCUGGGUGCUGCAGCGCCCAGCAUAUUGUUGGCCAGAGGUCCUGAAAGGAGCUGGAGUGGUGAAGGAUGAAGAGACGGCAAUGCAUGGGUUUAGGAAGUAAGACUAACUUUGGGAACAUGCACUUGGACACCCACCUCACGCCCUGGAGGUUAGAUAAUGGAAGUGAAUAGGCUCUGAGAUGUUAGAAACUCCGUUCUGCAUGGACACUGUGGUAGAAGAUAUGGACAAGUUAGGUGCAAGGCCAGAUUCUCUCAAUAUGCACAACUGGCUUUGGGUUCACGCAGUCUCAACUUACUCAAAAGUAGAAAUCUCCUGAAAUGGAAUUUUUCUAUAGUACUUUCUGAAGCUAUAGUGUCCAGCAUGGGAGCCACGAGCCACACAGGCUAUUGAGCACGUGAAAUGGAGCUAGUCUGAAUGGAGAUGCGCUGCACGUGUAAAACAUACACUGAAUUUCCAAGAUUUCAUAUGAAGAAAGGAAUAUAAAUUAUCUCAUUAAUAAUUCUUUAUAUUGGUUACAUGUUGAAAGGUAAUGUGUUGGAUAUAUAGGAUUAAAUAAAAUAUAUUAUUUAAAUUAAUUUUACCUGUUUCUUUUAAAACUUUUAAUGUGGCGACCAGGAAAUUGAAAAUUACACAUGCCUUGCGUUGUAUUUCUGUUGGAUCGUGCUGAUGUACGGAGCCUCUUCCACUCCUCAGCAGUGUUUGGUGAUCUGAAGAAGAGUGAGCACAGCUAUGGCUUUGCUGUUACUCACGUAUUGAUGAGCUCAGCCUUCUCAGGUGUUCUCUUCCUUCCUUCUAGAAUAGUGGCUGACAAACUUGGCUACAGAUUAGAAUCCUCUGGGGAGCUUUUGUAAUACACUGAUGCACAGCUCCAGAUUGACUUAACUGAGCAGAAAAUCUCUCCAGGUGACUGCAGCGUGCAGCCAGGUCAAAGCGCUCCUCCGGAAGUCUACCAAGGUUUACCGAGUACACAGAACCAGCAGAGGAAGCCGCUGCAGGAGCACAGGUCAACACGAAGCAUAAAAUGGAUAUUCUGAUCAAGUUCCUCUGCCAACAGAGGAAAUACCUUUGAGAAGCAGGAAGGGGAUGACAUGGUUCUAGAGUGGCUAAGUGUGGUUGGUGAUUAACUAUGCUUGGCUGAAACCCUUGCUGCUGGGAGUGUCGGCCACACACCUGCAGCAUUGGCAUCACUAGUCAGGCACUGGUUAGAAGCGCAGCAACCGAGGCCCUAAGCCAACCCCACUGAAGCAGAAUCUCCAUUACAACAAGAUUCUGGGUGGCUAGUGUAUGCAUCAAAGUUUUAGAAGUGUUGCCCUAAACAACAUUGUGUAAGCCAGGCCCUUACAUGGGACAAUUCAAUUAAAGCUCAGUUUGAAAAAUCUUUCCUUCUUUCAGUGACGGCUUCCACUGUCAGGAAUGGGGUGGGGAAAGCAUUGCAAAGGCAAGAUUUGCCCCUGUGUAUUUUAAAAAUAGAAUUUAUGGGGGCUGGCCCUGUGGCCAAGUGGUUAGUGUUCUAAACACUCCACUUUGGCAGCCUGGGUUCACAGGUUCAGAUCCUGGGUGCAGACCUACUCCACUCAUCAGCCAUGCUGUGGAGGCAUCCCACAUACAAAAUGGAGGAAGAUUGGUGCAGAUCUUAACUCAGGGCUAAUCUGCCUCAAGCAGAAAAAGAGGAAGAUUAGCAAUGAACGUUAGCUCAGGGCUAAUCUUCCUCACCAAGAAAAAAAAAGAAUUUACAGUUUAUGACUUACAAAAUAAAUUAUUCCUAAUGAAGAAAACAUUUUAAAAAACCCCAAAUCACCUGUAUCCCAUAGCAUAGUAACAACUGCUUUUGAUGUUUCAAUGAGUUUCUUCCAGACUUUUUUCAUUCAAUAUAUGUAUUAAUGUAUCUUCAUUCACUUGAAGAUUUCACUAUUUCCCGUUUGGUCCUUUUCCUAGUUUCUUACUAUCAUAAACUGCUUCUGGGAAGAGACUUUCAUAGACAUCUUUUUGCAUGUCUGAUUGUUUCCUUACCACAAAAUUCAUUAAAAAUGGAAUAAUCGGGUCAGGCAAGGAUCAUUUCUAAAGGUUUUGAUACAUAUUGCCAAACUGAGAGAUCGUCCAAGCUCACUCUAGUGUAAAUGCUCGCAGACUUAUCAACACUGUUUUUAAUCAUUCGUUGAUCUUUGCCAACUUGAGUAACAGCAUAAGGUGUCUCAUUUAAAUUUUUUCAUUUUUAUCAAUUGUGAAGCUGAACAAUUUUUUCUAAACAUCUAUUGUAAUUUUUAUUUCUUUUCCUGCAAAUUGCCCAUUCUUGCAGUCUGUCCAUUUUUACACUGGAUUUUGUUAUUUUCCAACUCACUUUUCAAAAUUUUUAUGCAUUAAAAAUAGUAAAUUUUUGUACAUUUUCUUGUUUUUCUGGCAACCGUUUUCCCUAAUCAUAGUUAAUAUGAAAAGAACAAAAUAACAAGGCAAUAAUUAUAUAAUUUUACUAUCCAAUAUCAUGGCCAUCAGCUACAUGUGGCCAUUUAAAUUUAAAUUAAAAUAAAUUCAGUUUCUCAGUUGUGCUAUCUACAUUUCAAGUAUUCAGGGGCCACGUGUGACUAGUGGCCCCUGUAUUAGGCAGCAGAUACGGAACAUUUCCAUCUUCAGAGAGAGUUCUGUUGGAAAGGACAGCACAGCACAUUGACCUGUCAGCAAGUGGAAAUAGUGCUUAAGGAUCGGGCUACGUGUUACUGAUUCCCUAACCUUCCUGGACAGUCCUCUCCUGCGUUUUGAUUUCCUGUAUAUUUUGGAGAGAAGAGUAUAGUUAUUCUAACAUUUGGAAAAGCUGAUGAACGGGUCUGGAGUAAAUAACUGAUUUAAAUAUUCUUACAACAUCAGUUUUUUAAGAAGUACUGUACUUGUUGCAAAUAAGAGACAUUUUUCACUGAAAGAGGCUUAUUAACAUUUAUCUAGAUAUGUGAUAAGAUGGAAGUGAUGGAUUCCAGUAAUGGUUACAUAUUUGUAUUGGCUCUGCCCUGGUUUUAUUACGGGGAUGCUCUUUCAUGGGAUUAUUUCCUUGUUUUUUAUUGCAUACUGCCUCCCCUUCUCCCCCCCGCCCCAACCCCCAUCACCAGCUCCUCUUUCUUUUCUUCUUUUUCAGAGGAGCCUCCCAGCAGGACCAUCCCUGCGCUCUCUCUAACCUUGCAUAGGAAAAAUGAGGAGCAUGACUGGGUCUGUGGAAGCAGGGCCGGGUUCCUGGGAGGAUAAUCCCAAAGGCUGACCACUUGCCCAGGACACGCCCCUGGUGGAAGUGAGAGGUACACAGCCAGUGCUCCUGUGUGAGAUGCAAUCCUCGCUGGUUUCAAGACAGCCGUCAGCCUUGCUCCUCGCUUUCCUUGUCAUCUCCUGAUCCUUAG
ensembl:lncRNA